UGCAGUCGAGGGGCAGCGGGUGGAGUAUUUCGGUACUCCUGCCGGCGACCGGCGCACGGGUGCGUAACGCGUAUGCAACCUACCUUUAACAGGGGGAUAAUCCGAAGAAAUUUGGUCUAAUACCCCAUAAUAUCAUUUAAGGCAUCUUAGAUGGUUGAAAAUUCCGAUGGUUAGAGAUGGGCAUGCGUUGUAUUAGCUAGUUGGUGAGGUAACGGCUCACCAAGGCUACGAUACAUAGGGGGACUGAGAGGUUUUCCCCCCACACUGGUACUGAGACACGGACCAGACUCCUACGGGAGGCAGCAGUGAGGAAUAUUGGUCAAUGGACGCAAGUCUGAACCAGCCAUGCCGCGUGCAGGAUGAAGGUGCUAUGCAUUGUAAACUGCUUUUGUACGAGGGUAAAUGCAGGUACGUGUACCUGUUUGAAAGUAUCGUACGAAUAAGGGUCGGCUAACUCCGUGCCAGCAGCCGCGGUAAUACGGAGGACCCGAGCGUUAUCCGGAUUUAUUGGGUUUAAAGGGUGCGUAGGCGGAUUAGUAAGUUAGAGGUGAAAGCUCGAUGCUCAACAUCGAAAUUGCCUCUGAUACUGUUAGUCUAGAGUAUAGUUGCGGAAAGGCGGAAUGUGUGGUGUAGCGGUGAAAUGCUUAGAUAUCACACAGAACACCGAUUGCGAAGGCAGCUUUCCAAGCUAUUACUGG
rnacentral:rRNA from 1 species